GUAAAGAGCUCGUAGGUGGUUUGUCGCGUUGUUCGUGAAAUCUCACGGCUUAACUGUGAGCGUGCGGGCGAUACGGGCAGACUUGAGUACUGCAGGGGAGACUGGAAUUCCUGGUGUAGCGGUGGAAUGCGCAGAUAUCAGGAGGAACACCGGUGGCGAAGGCGGGUCUCUGGGCAGUAACUGACGCUGAGGAGCGAAAGCGUGGGGAGCGAACAGGAUUAGAUACCCUGGUAGUCCACGCCGUAAACGGUGGGUACUAGGUGUGGGUUUCCUUCCUUGGGAUCCGUGCCGUAGCUAACGCAUUAAGUACCCCGCCUGGGGAGUACGGCCGCAAGGCUAAAACUCAAAGAAAUUGACGGGGGCCCGCACAAGCGGCGGAGCAUGUGGAUUAAUUCGAUGCAACGCGAAGAACCUUACCUGGGUUUGACAUGCACAGGACGCCGGCAGAGAUGUCGGUUCCCUUGUGGCCUGUGUGCAGGUGGUGCAUGGCUGUCGUCAGCUCGUGUCGUGAGAUGUUGGGUUAAGUCCCGCAACGAGCGCAACCCUUGUCUCAUGUUGCCAGCGGGUAAUGCCGGGGACUCGUGAGAGACUGCCGGGGUCAACUCGGAGGAAGGUGGGGAUGACGUCAAGUCAUCAUGCCCCUUAUGUCCAGGGCUUCACACAUGCUACAAUGGCCGGUACAAAGGGCUGCGAUGCCGCGAGGUUAAGCGAAUCCUUUUAAAGCCGGUCUCAGUUCGGAUCGGGGUCUGCAACUCGACCCCGUGAAGUCGGAGUCGCUAGUAA
rnacentral:rRNA from 1 species